rnacentral:rRNA from 1 species
UUCCGGUUGAUCCUGCCAGAGGUCAUUGCUAUCGGAGUCCGAUUUAGCCAUGCUAGUCGCACGGGUUCAGCCCCGUGGCGAAUAGCUCCGUAACACGUGGCCAAUCUACCCUACAGACAGGCAUAACCUCGGGAAACUGAGGCUAAUUCCUGAUACCACUCCCACGCUGGAACGCCGGGAGUGAGAAACGUUCCGACGCUGUAGGAUGAGGCUGCGGCCGAUUAGGUAGACGGUGGGGUAACGGCCCACCGUGCCAAUAAUCGGUACGGGUUGUGAGAGCAAGAACCCGGAGACGGAAUCUGAGACGAGAUUCCGGGCCCUACGGGGCGCAGCAGGCGCGAAACCUUUACACUGCACGACAGUGCGAUAGGGGGACUCCGAGUGCGGAGGCAUAGUGCCUUCGCUUUUGUACACCCUAAGGCGGUGUACGAAUAAGAGCUGGGCAAGACCGGUGCCAGCCGCCGCGGUAAUACCGGCAGCUCGAGUGAUGACCGAUCUUAUUGGGCCUAAAGCGUUCGUAGCCGGCCGAGCAAGUUCGUCGGGAAAUCUACCAGCUCAACUGGUAGGCGUCCGGCGAAAACUGCCCGGCUUGGGACAGGGAGACUCGAAGGGUACGUCCGGGGUAGGAGUGAAAUCCUGUAAUCCUGGACGGACCACCGAUGGCGAAAGCACUUCGAGAGAACUGAUCCGACGGUCAGGAACGAAAGCUGGGGUCUCGAACCGGAUUAGAUACCCGGGUAGUCCCAGCUGUAAACGAUGUUCGCUAGGUGCGACGCAGACUACGAGUCUGUGUUGUGCCGUAGGGAAGCCGAGAAGCGAACCGCCUGGGAAGUACGUCCGCAAGGAUGAAACUUAAAGGAAUUGGCGGGGGAGCACUACAACCGGAGGAGCCUGCGGUUUAAUUGGACUCAACGCCGGACAUCUCACCAGCCCCGACUGUUCGAAUGACGCUCAGUGUGAUGAGCUUAGCAGACGAUCAGAGAGGAGGUGCAUGGCCGCCGUCAGCUCGUACCGUGAGGCGUCCUGUUAAGUCAGGCAACGAGCGAGACCCGCAUCCCUAAUUGCCAGCAAGACCCACGAAGGUCGUUGGGU